rnacentral:lncRNA from 1 species
GAGCACACAAGUGUUGUUGUUGCUGCGUUGGGAGGCCGAGCGAGCGUGUGAUUCCGCCGUUUCGACGUCGCGCCGGAUUUGGAUUAGUAUUCCGAGGUAGGUUUAUCAUCGGAUUUCUACUCCUAUAGUCGCGGUUGACAGCAUAUAUUUUGUGUUAUGCAUUUCAUGUGUAAAUAGCUCGAAUUCAUGAUCUUUCAUGUUGUUGACAUCUAAACAGAACUUGGAGUGGAUAAAUUAUACAUGCUGAACUUGGAUUUGACUUAGGAGAAAAUCCGCGAAUAUAACCAGUCAUAUGCUUAAACUAUCAGAUUUAGCUCUAGGAGCCGUGGUUUAGUUGUAUCAUCGCAAUUUCAGAGCGACGGAUACCCCAAGUAGUUUAGAUUUCUGUUACGCUCAUGCUGGGAUGUCGAGUAUAUUUUUACAGUAGUAUUCAGAUUGUUCCGAACUAUUGGGUGCCGUCGGGAUUGACGGUGGACCCAGAUUGCUGUUUUGGCAUCAGAUUAUG